UAGCCAUAUCACAUUGAAACACUGGUUCUCAUAUGAUCACCAAAGUUAAGCAACAUUGACCCUGGUCAGUACUUAGAUGGGUGCCUGCUUGGGAAUAUCAGGUGUAGUA
rnacentral:rRNA from 1 species